CCGAGUGGCGAACGGGUGAGGAACGCGUGGACAACCUACCCCGGCGUGGGGGAUACCCGCCAGAAAUGGCGGCUAAUACCGCGUACGGUUCUCCGGCGACGGGCUGGGGAAAGAAAGCAGUGAUGCGCGCUGGGAGGGGUCUGCGGCCGAUUAGCUUGUUGGCGGGGUAACGGCCCACCAAGGCUUUGAUCGGUAGCCGGCCUGAGAGGGCGCACGGCCACACUGGAACUGAAACACGGUCCAG
rnacentral:rRNA from 1 species